GACGAACGCUGGCGGCGUGCUUAACACAUGCAAGUCGAACGGAGUGGCGAACGGGUGAGUAACACGUGGGUGACCUGCCCUGCACUUCGGGAUAAGCCUGGGAAACUGGGUCUAAUACCGGAUAGUGUGGGAUGGGCGCGCGGGCUAUCAGCUUGUUGGGGGGGUAAUGGCCUACCAAGGCGGCGACGGGUAGCCGGCCUGGGAGGGUGUACGGCCACAUUAGGACUGAGAGACGGCCCAGACUCCUACGGGAAGCAGCAGUGGGGAAUAUUGCACGAUAGGCGGAAGCCUAAUGCAGCGACGCCGCGUGGGGGAUGACGGCCUUCGGGUUGUGAACUCCUUGCACCAUAGACGCGGUAGAUGGAGAAGAAGCACCGGCUAACUACGUGCCAGCAGCCGCGGUAAUUC
rnacentral:rRNA from 1 species